UACGUAGGGUGCAAGCGUUAAUCGGAAUUACUGGGCGUAAAGCGUGCGCAGGCGGCUUUGCAAGACAGAUGUGAAAUCCCCGGGCUUAACCUGGGAACUGCAUUUGUGACUGCAUGGCUGGAGUGCGGCAGAGGGGGAUGGAAUUCCUGGUGUAGCAGUGAAAUGCGUAGAGAUGUGGAGGAAUACCGAUGGCGAAGGCAGCCCCCUGGGCCAAUACUGACGCUCAUGCACGAAAGCGUGGGGAGCAAACAGG
rnacentral:rRNA from 1 species